UCCCAUAGCUCAGUGGUUAGAGCACUUGCCUUUCAAGCAAGAGGACUUGGGUUCGAUUCCCAGGCAGCGCAA